AAUAUUUGACAAUGGGGGCAACCCUGAUCCAGCCAUGCCGCGUGUGUGAAGAAGGUCUUCGGAUUGUACCGCACUUUAAGUUGGGAGGAAGGGCUUUAGGUUAAUACCCUGAAGUUUUGACGUUACCAACAUAAUAAGCACCGGCUAAAUCUGUUCCAGCACCCGCGGUAAUACAGAGGGUGCAAGCGUUAAUCGGAAUUACUGGGCGUAAAGGGAGCGUAGGUGGUUCAGGAAGAUGGGUGUGAAAUCCCCGGGCUUAACCUGGGAACUGCUUUCAUAACUGCUGAGCUAGAGUACGGUAGAGGGUAGUGGAAUUUCCUGUGUAGCGGUGAAAUGCGUAGAUAUAGGAAGGAACACCAGUGGCGAAGGCGACUACCUGGACUGAUACUGACACUGAGGUGCGAAAGCGUGGGGAGCAAACAG
rnacentral:rRNA from 1 species